GAAUAAUUAUUUAUUCUUUGCUGGGCCUAAGUCAAUUGAAAUUAUAUUGCACAAGGAUGAAUUAUCCGUACGAUAAGGCUCAUACGAUGAUACGCGUAAUUCGAUAAUCGUUAUAAAUUAUUACACUGCCAACGCUGCCUUUAAAUCGAGUACACCAAUAAUUGACCACAGUACAACUUUAAAACCAAUAUGGUUACAGUUGGAACUGAAUAGUUACCACACCCACGCCCAAGAACGACAAGACGUACAAAAUGCACGUAGUGAAUGUGCCUUUGGUCUUCCUAUUCCAAAGUACCGACACGGAGGAUGAGGUGCCCGAACACGUUACAAACUGGAGACCAAUGAUGUGUGAAAUUGCUUAAACAUAAUAUUAUGACGUAUAUAAAAGAACAAAAAAAUGUUUACA